AGCGAACGCUGGCGGCAGGCCUAACACAUGCAAGUCGAACGAACUCUUCGGAGUUAGUGGCGGACGGGUGAGUAACACGUGGGAACGUGCCUUUUGGUUCGGAAUAACUCAGGGAAACUUGUGCUAAUACCGAAUGUGCCCUUCGGGGGAAAGAUUUAUCGCCAUUAGAGCGGCCCGCGUCUGAUUAGCUAGUUGGUGAGGUAACGGCUCACCAAGGCGACGAUCAGUAGCUGGUCUGAGAGGAUGACCAGCCACACUGGGACUGAGACACGGCCCAGACUCCUACGGGAGGCAGCAGUGGGGAAUCUUGCGCAAUGGGCGAAAGCCUGACGCAGCCAUGCCGCGUGAAUGAUGAAGGUCUUAGGAUUGUAAAAUUCUUUCACCGGGGACGACAAUGACGGUACCCGGAGAAGAAGCCCCGGCUAACUUCGUG
rnacentral:rRNA from 1 species